ensembl:snoRNA
GGCUUACAGACAGGUGCAACAAAUAAGUCCUAUUUUUCAACCCAGAACUCAUUGUUCAGUUUGAGUUUUGAUACACAUAAGCAGGAAUAUU